CGGGGCGGGGGGUGCUAAUACAUGCAAGUAGAACGCUGAAGAGAGGAGCUUGCUCUUCUUGGAUGAGUUGCGAACGGGUGAGUAACGCGUAGGUAACCUGCCUUGUAGCGGGGGAUAACUAUUGGAAACGAUAGCUAAUACCGCAUAACAAUGGAUGACCCAUGUCAUUUAUUUGAAAGGGGCAAAUGCUCCACUACAAGAUGGACCUGCGUUGUAUUAGCUAGUAGGUGAGGUAACGGCUCACCUAGGCGACGAUACAUAGCCGACCUGAGAGGGUGAUCGGCCACACUGGGACUGAGACACGGCCCAGACUCCUACGGGAGGCAGCAGUAGGGAAUCUUCGGCAAUGGGGGCAACCCUGACCGAGCAACGCCGCGUGAGUGAAGAAGGUUUUCGGAUCGUAAAGCUCUGUUGUAAGUCAAGAACGAGUGUGAGAGUGGAAAGUUCACACUGUGACGGUAGCUUACCAGAAAGGGACGGCUAACUACGUGCCAGCAGCCGCGGUAAUACGUAGGUCCCGAGCGUUGUCCGGAUUUAUUGGGCGUAAAGCGAGCGCAGGCGGUUUGAUAAGUCUGAAGUUAAAGGCUGUGGCUCAACCAUAGUUCGCUUUGGAAACUGUCAAACUUGAGUGCAGAAGGGGAGAGUGGAAUUCCAUGUGUAGCGGUGAAAUGCGUAGAUAUAUGGAGGAACACCGGUGGCGAAAGCGGCUCUCUGGUCUGUAACUGACGCUGAGGCUCGAAAGCGUGGGGAGCGAACAGGAUUAGAUACCCUGGUAGUCCACGCCGUAAACGAUGAGUGCUAGGUGUUGGAUCCUUUCCGGGAUUCAGUGCCGCAGCUAACGCAUUAAGCACUCCGCCUGGGGAGUACGACCGCAAGGUUGAAACUCAAAGGAAUUGACGGGGGCCCGCACAAGCGGUGGAGCAUGUGGUUUAAUUCGAAGCAACGCGAAGAACCUUACCAGGUCUUGACAUCCCGAUGCUAUUUCUAGAGAUAGAAAGUUACUUCGGUACAUCGGUGACAGGUGGUGCAUGGUUGUCGUCAGCUCGUGUCGUGAGAUGUUGGGUUAAGUCCCGCAACGAGCGCAACCCCUAUUGUUAGUUGCCAUCAUUCAGUUGGGCACUCUAGCGAGACUGCCGGUAAUAAACCGGAGGAAGGUGGGGAUGACGUCAAAUCAUCAUGCCCCUUAUGACCUGGGCUACACACGUGCUACAAUGGUUGGUACAACGAGUUGCGAGUCGGUGACGGCAAGCUAAUCUCUUAAAGCCAAUCUCAGUUCGGAUUGUAGGCUGCAACUCGCCUACAUGAAGUCGGAAUCGCUAGUAAUCGCGGAUCAGCACGCCGCGGUGAAUACGUUCCCGGGCCUUGUACACACCGCCCGUCACACCACGAGAGUUUGUAACACCCGAAGUCGGUGAGGUAACCUUUGGAGCCAGCCGCUUAAGGGUUGGAAAAAGG
rnacentral:rRNA from 1 species